CACCGUGUCUCGCGAAUGCGCAUAGGAUUAAGUUUGAUCAUGGCUCAGACCGAACGCGNUAAGGCAGGCCUAACACAUGCAAGUCGAGCGGAUGACGGGAGCUUGCUCCUUGAUUCAGCGGCGGACGGGUGAGUAAUGCCUAGGAAUCUGCCUGGUUAGUGGGGGACAACGUUUCGAAAGGAACGCUAAUACCGCAUACGUCCUACGGGAGAAAGCAGGGGACCUUCGUGGCCUUGCGCUAUCAGAUGAGCCUAGGUCGGAUUAGCUAGUUGGUGGGGUAAUGGCUCACCAAGGCGACGAUCCGUAACUGGUCUGAGAGGAUGAUCAGUCACACUGGAACUGAGACACGGUCCAGACUCCUACGGGAGGCAGCAGUGGGGAAUAUUGGACAAUGGGCGAAAGCCUGAUCCAGCCAUGCCGCGUGUGUGAAGAAGGUCUUCGGAUUGUAAAGCACUUUAAGUUGGGAGGAAGGGCAGUAAGCUAAUACCUUGCUGUUUUGACGUUACCGACAGAAUAAGCACCGGCUAACUCUGUGCCAGCAGCCGCGGUAAUACAGAGGGUGCAAGCGUUAAUCGGAAUUACUGGGCGUAAAGCGCGCGUAAGGUGGUUUGUCUAAGUUGGAUGUGAAAGCCCCGGCUCAACCUUGGACUGCUUUCCCAAAAAACUUGGGCAAGCUAGAAGUANC
rnacentral:rRNA from 1 species